AGCAGCCGCGGUAAUUCCAGCUCCAAUAGCGUAUAUUAAAGUUGUUGCAGUUAAAAGCUCGUAGUUGAAUUUCGGGAUCAAUAUAUCGGUCGUGCCUUGGUACGUACUGGUAUCAUUGGUUUCUCCUUUCUGACGAACCAUGAUGUCAUUAAUUUGGUGUUAUGGGAAGUUAGGACUGUUACUUUGAAAAAUUGAGUGUUUAAAGCAGGCUUUGGCUUGAAUACAUUAGCAUGGAAUAAUGAAAUAGGACGUUUGAUUCUAUUUUGUUGGUUUCUAGGAUCGACGUAAUGAUUAAUAGGGAUAGUUGGGGGCAUUAGUAUUCAAUUGUCAGAGGUGAAAUUCUUGGAUUUAUUGAAGACUAACUACUGCGAAAGCAUUUGCCA
rnacentral:misc_RNA from 1 species